CCUACGGGUGACAGCAGUGAGGAAUAUUGGACAAUGGACGCGAGCCUGAACCAGCCAAGCAGCGUGAAUGAUGACUGCCCUAUGGGUUGUAAACUUCUUUUAUAUGGGAAUAAAACAGGGUAUGCAUACCCUCUUGUAUGUACCAUAUGAAUAAGGAACGGGCAACUCGGUUCCAGCAGCCGCGGGAAUACGGAGGAUCCGAGCGUUAUCCGGAUUUAUUGGGUUUAACGGGAGCGUAGGUGGUCUGUUAAGUCAGUUGUGAAAGCUCGUGGCUCAACCUGAGAAUUGCAGUUGAAACUGGCAGGCUAGAGUAUAGUAGAGGGGGGUAGAAUUCGAGGUGUAGCGGUGAAAUGCGUAGAGAUCUGGAAGAACACCGAUGGCGAAGGCAGCUCACUGGACAAAGACUGACACUGAGGUGCGAAAGUGUGGGUAGCAAACAGGAUUAGAUACCCGAGUAGUC
rnacentral:rRNA from 1 species